CAGCAGUGGGGAAUAUUGCACAAUGGGGGAAACCCUGAUGCAGCCAUGCCGCGUGUGUGAAGAAGGCCUUCGGGUUGUAAAGCACUUUCAGUAGGGAGGAAGGUAGUGUAGUUAACACCUGCAUUAUUUGACGUUACCUACAGAAGAAAGCACCGGCUAACUCCGUGCCAGCAGCCGCGGUAAUACGGAGGGUGCGAGCGUUAAUCGGAAUUACUGGGCGUAAAGCGCAUACAGGCGGCCUGUUAAGUCAGAUGUGAAAGCCCGGGGCUUAACCUCGGAAUUGCAUUUGAAACUGGCAGGCUAGAGUCUUGUAGAGGGGGGUAGGAAUUUCAGGUGUAGCGGUGAAAUGCGUAGAGAUCUGAAGGAAUACCAGUGGCGAAGGCGGCCCCCUGGACAAAGACUGACGCUCAGAUGCGAAAGCGUGGGGAGCAAACAGGAUUAGAUACCCUGGUAG
rnacentral:rRNA from 1 species